AUGAGGGAACAGAGAGGACUAGGGAAGCAGAGUCUAGGGAACGGCAGGCAGUGGCGUCGCGGCAGGGCCCGCGGGGUCGCCUGUCCUCCGUCCAAGAGGCCGGAGCGUCAGCGUGCAGUUUUCUAAAAAGCAGUUGGGUGGGCAUUGAGGGCUAUAUUUAAAUAAAAGGACUUACUUGACUUUAUUAUGUAAUUAAAAAAAAUCAGUGUAUACAGGAAAACUGCGGGACCAGCAAACCCCAGCAAAGGCUCUGGUCUGAGGCUCUCCUGGGUUCCUGUCUUCAUUCUCCUGACCACUUGUGCCCACCAUUUCUAGGACACUUCCUUGAGGUGUAAAGUAUUUGUCUGAACGUCUGUUUUGUACAGAAAACAAGAUCUCUUAGAGGAAAGAACAUGAACCAUCCCAUCCUAGCCUUCGCAAGUCGGUAAACUUUGGCUGUGGUGCCUUAUAGUAACCAUGUCCACCAUCUCACGACUCUUCCUGACAUCAAGGAGCCCUUUUAAAGUAUGUAUUGUCCACUGUGAUUUAGUGUCCACUGUGAUUCCUGCCUGAAGAAUACAGCAUUUCAAGGAUGAAAAGCUACAGCGGAUGUACUCAAUGUAAUACUCAAUGACAUAAUGAAGAAGUGAUUAGAAUUUUAACACUGUUUAAUAAUUAUAUAGCUUGAAAUUAUAUUUCAACACUCUUUGUAAAUCUCUUUCUGUUAACAUUCUGAAUUCAGUUAUUAUCCUUUUGGUACAUUUGAAUUUCUGCAUAGCAUUGGUGGCUGUAGAGUCCUCUGCAAGUCAGCACAACAUAGACUCUAGUCUUCUACAUUCCCAUUGAGUUACAUAGCUAGUAGAAUUGCUGCUAAAGGACAGAAAACGUUUAAUGUCAAUGAAGUUCUUAGGUUUGUGUGUGUGUAUUAAAUACAGGCACAUAACCAUAUUUUUAUAAUCCUGUGACAUAGUAAACUAUGAAAAUAACAAACAAUACUUUUUUCUCCCUCCACCCUAUUGGGUUGGCACCAAAUCGUAUUUGGUAACUAAACUUGACUAUGCUAACAUUACCAUUGAUAUUCUUAUUUAUCCCACUUAGUGUGAAUAUUGAGAAACAAUGUGUUAAAUUAUAAAGUAUGGAUGGAAAGUUUAUGUAAUAUAUGCUAUAUGCAAAAUCCAUUAACCGAGGUUUCAGAUAAGAGAUUGUAGAACUAUUAUUUUGUUUUUUUCUGAUUUAAUGUGAUCAUUAUUUUCCUAUUUUUCACCAACUCUAAAAGGUAUAUAUAUAUAUAUAUAUUAAAUAUACAUAUUUAAUAUCUACACAUUUUUGUGAAAUAAAACCUGAUGUUGUUGACCUUAUUUGUUACUUUUAUUGGUUGACUGAUUUUAUUGAUAUUUAUGAGACUUAAUAACAAAUUCAUUUUAGAAAUUACUAAAUACUUUCAAAUAA